rnacentral:rRNA from 1 species
AAAAUAUAGCUUGAGAAAGAAUUUCUUAUUAUAAAAUUGUAAGGUUGGCGUUGAGUAAUUUUUAAAUAAAAUAUUCUUAGGUUUUAUUAUCGUUAUUGAAAGAAUUUAUUAUUAUUAUAGUUUAUUAGUAUUGUGAAAGAAAGUUUUAAAUUAUUUAAUAGAAAAAUUAAUUUUUUGUACCUUGCGUAUCAGGGUUUAUUAAAAAAAAUUUUUUAGAGGACUUUUCUCGAAUUAAUAAGAGUUAUAAAUAUAUAAUUUUUAAUGUAGAAGAAUUAUUAUUAAUAUAUUUAUAGAGAUGAAAUGUCAGGCGUUUAUUAAAAUAUCUAGUUUCUUUAGAAACAAAUUUAAUUUGAUCUUUUUAAAAAUAAUUUUUUUUUGGUUAAUUUUUAUUUUUAAGGUUUAAUAGUUUAGGGGAUGAGCUUUGAACUAAAUUUAGUAAAAAAUUUAAUUUAUAUUUUUAUAUAAAUAGGAUUAAAAGUUUUUAUUUUAGUGUGUAAUAACUAAAUUUAAAAAGUUAUAUUUUAUUUAUAUUUUUAUUUACUUUUUUUAUAAAGAUUUUUGUUUUAAUAAAAUAAAACAAAGAAAAAAUGAUAAAAUUAGUAGAGAAAAGAAAAAUUUAUUGAAAAUUAAUAUUAUUAAUAAAUGAGGUUAGAUUAAGGAAUUCGGCAAAUAGGUUUUUCACCUGUUUAUUAAAAACAUGUCUUUUAGAAAAAAAUUAAAAGUCGGGCCUGCCCAGUGAAAAUUUUUAAAUGGCCGCGGUAUUUUGACCGUGCUAAGGUAGCAUAAUCAUUAGUUUCUUAAUUAGAAGCUGGAAUGAAAGGUUUGAUGAAAAAACUACUGUCUCAAUCUAAAGUUUUUGAAUUUUAUUUUUAAGUUAAAAAGCUUAAAUAAAUAUGAAAGACGAGAAGACCCUAUAGAGUUUUAUUUUUGUUUAUUAAGAAUAUAAUUUUAGAAUUUUAUUAUUUUUUAUUAAAAAAAAUUGGGUUGGGGUGACUAAAAAAUUUAAAAAACUUUUUUUACACUGAAAACACAAUUAAGUGGUUAAAAAUUUAUGAUGAUCCUUUGUUAAAGAUUAAAAGAAAAAAUUACCUUAGGGAUAACAGCGUUAUUUUUUCUGAGAGUUCAAAUCGAAGAAAAAGUUUGCGACCUCGAUGUUGGAUUAAAAUAACUUUUGGUGCAGCAGCUAGAAAAGUUGGGUCUGUUCGACCUUUAAAAUUUUACAUGAUCUGAGUUUAAACCGGCGUGAGCCAGGUUGGUUUCUAUCUUUAUAUAAAAAAAUGUUUUAGUACGAAAGGACCAAAUAUUUCUUUUUUGAAAAGGAAAACUUAUUGAAAAUUAUUAAAGGGGGGUUGUAUUGGCAGAGUUAAUGCUAU